AUGCCCUAGUAACGGCGAGUGAAGCGGCAACAGCUCAAAUUUGAAAUCUGGCGUCUUUGGCGUCCGAGUUGUAAUUUGCAGAGGGCGCUUUGGCAUUGGCAGCGGUCCAAGUUCCUUGGAACAGGACGUCACAGAGGGUGAGAAUCCCGUACGUGGUCGCUAGCCUUUACCGUGUAAAGCCCCUUCGACGAGUCGAGUUGUUUGGGAAUGCAGCUCUAAAUGGGAGGUAAAUUUCUUCUAAAGCUAAAUACUGGCCAGAGACCGAUAGCGCACAAGUAGAGUGAUCGAAAGAUGAAAAGCACUUUGGAAAGAGAGUUAAAAAGCACGUGAAAUUGUUGAAAGGGAAGCGCUUGCAGCCAGACUUGCCUGUAGUUGCUCAUCCGGGUUUUUACCCGGUGCACUCUUCUAUAGGCAGGCCAGCAUCAGUUUGGGCGGUUGGAUAAAGGUCUCUGUCACGUACCUCCUCUCGGGGAGAACUUAUAGGGGAGACGUAAUGCAACCAGCCUGGACUGAGGUCCGCGCAUCUGCUAGGAUGCUGGCGUAAUGGCUGUAAGCGGCCCGUCUUGAAACACGGACCAAGGAGUCUAACAUCUAUGCGAGUGUUUGGGUGUCAAGCCCGAGCGCGUAAUGAAAGUGAACGGAGGUGGGAACCUUUCGGGGUGCACCAUCGACCGAUCCUGAUGUCUUCGGAUGGAUUUGAGUAAGAGCAUAGCUGUUGGGACCCGAAAGAUGGUGAACUAUGCUUGAAUAGGGUGAAGCCAGAGGAAACU
rnacentral:rRNA from 3 species